rnacentral:rRNA from 1 species
GGGACGAACGCUGGCGGCGUGCUUAACACAUGCAAGUCGAGCGGUAAGGCCUUUCGGGGUACACGAGCGGCGAACGGGUGAGUAACACGUGGGUGACCUGCCCUCCACUCUGGGAUAAGCCUUGGAAACGGGGUCUAAUACCGGAUAUGACCACAUGUCGCAUGGUAUGUGGUGGAAAGCGUUUAGUGGUGGGGAUGGGCCCGCGGCCUAUCAGCUUGUUGGUGGGGUGAUGGCCUACCAAGGCUUCGACGGGUA